UACGUAGGGGGGCAAGCGUUGUCCGGAAUCAUUGGGCGUAAAGAGCGUGUAGGCGGCCACUUAAGUCCUGCGUGAAAUCUUGCGGCUCAACCGCAAGCGGUCGUGGGAAACUGGGUGGCUAGAGUGCGGGAGAGGAGAGUGGAAUUCCUGGUGUAGCGGUGGAAUGCGCAGAUAUCAGGAGGAACACCAAUGGCGAAGGCAGCUCGCUGGGACGUGACUGACGCUGAGACGCGAAAGCGUGGGGGAGCAAACAGG
rnacentral:rRNA from 1 species